AGCGGGGUAGGGUAGUCAGGAUAUCCCGCAGGGCUCAUAACCCUGAGAUCGAUGGUUCAAAUCCAUCCCCCGCUACCA
rnacentral:tRNA from 1 species